GACGAACGCUGGCGGCGUGCUUAACACAUGCAAGUCGAACGGAAAGGCCCUGCUUUUGUGGGGUGCUCGAGUGGCGAACGGGUGAGUAACACGUGAGUAACCUGCCCUUGACUUUGUGAUAACUUCAGGAAACUGGGGCUAAUACCGGAUAGGAGCUCCUGCUGCAUGGUGGGGGUUGGAAAGUUUCGGCGGUUGGGGAUGGACUCGCGGCUUAUCAGCUUGUUGGUGGGGUAGUGGCUUACCAAGGCUUUGACGGGUAGCCGGCCUGGGAGGGUGACCAGCGACAAUGGGACUGAGAUACGGCCCAGACUGCAACGGGAGGCAGCAGUGGGGAAUAUUACACAAUGGGCGGAAGCCUGAUGCAGCAACGCCGCGUGCGGGAUGACGGCCUACGGGUUGUAAACCGCUGUCGCCUGUGACGAAGCGUGAGUGACGGUAAUGGGUAAAGAAGCACCGGCUAACUACGUG
rnacentral:rRNA from 1 species